rnacentral:rRNA from 1 species
ACUUAAAUUGAAGAGUUUGAUCAUGGCUCAGAUUGAACGCUGGCGGCAGGCCUAACACAUGCAAGUCGAGCGGUAGCACAGAGAGCUUGCUCUCGGGUGACGAGCGGCGGACGGGUGAGUAAUGUCUGGGAAACUGCCUGAUGGAGGGGGAUAACUACUGGAAACGGUAGCUAAUACCGCAUAACGUCGCAAGACCAAAGUGGGGGACCUUCGGGCCUCAUGCCAUCAGAUGUGCCCAGAUGGGAUUAGCUAGUAGGUGGGGUAA